rnacentral:rRNA from 1 species
GUACUGGUGUUAUUGGUUUCUCCUUUCUGAGGAGCCAUGAUGUCAUUAAUUUGGUGUCGUGGGGAAUCAGGACUGUUACUUUGAAAAAAUUAGAGUGUUUAAAGCAGGCACGCGCUUGAAUACAUUAGCAUGGAAUAAUGAAAUAGGACGUUCGAUUCUAUUUUGUUGGUUUCUAGGAUCAACGUAAUGAUUAAUAGGGAUAGUUGGGGGCAUUAGUAUUCAAUUGUCAGAGGUGAAAUUCUUGGAUUUAUUGAAGACUAACUACUGCGAAAGCAUUUGCCAAGGAUGUUUUCAUUAAUCAAGAACGAAAGUCAGGGGAUCGAAGACGAUCAGAUACCGUCGUAGUCUUAACCAUAAACUAUGCCGACUAGGGAUCGGAUGAUGUUAAUUUUUUAAUGACUCAUUCGGCGCCUUACG